rnacentral:rRNA from 1 species
GUGCCAGCCGCCGCGGUAAUACGGAGGGUGCAAGCGUUAUUCGGAUUUAUUGGGCGUAAAGGGCGUGUAGGCGGUUUGAAUAGUCAGGUGUGAAAGCCCUUGGCUUAACCAAGGAAGUGCACUUGAAACUUUCAGACUUGAGUACGGGAGGGGGAAGUGGAAUUCCUGGUGUAGAGGUGAAAUUCGCAGAUAUCAGGAGGAAUACCGGUGGCGAAGGCGACUUCCUGGACCGAUACUGACGCUGAGACGCGAAAGCGUGGGGAGCAAACAGGAUUAGAAACCCCGGUAGUCC